rnacentral:lncRNA from 1 species
CCAUAUUUUUCAUAUUGAAAUUCACAAUCACACUUUCAUUAACAGCACAACUCAUAGUAUAUUUACAAUACUAUUCACAACAUACUUGUCUCACACCUAUCUAUACUAAGACAGGGUUCACAAAAGGGAUGGGAUCUCAAUCUACAUCCAGAUUAUAUUCAAGAUCUCUCUCUGGAUCUUCUUCUUCUUCAAAAGUCUUUCUCCCCUUCAGGUUCCCCUUCCUUAGCUUCUCCUCAGGGUCCUGAAAUGGUUAUUCAAUAACCAAUGAGACCACGUCUCAGCGAGUCCUACGCACUAAGACUCGAUUAAUAAACUAAUACACCAUACGGUUGCCUAAGCACAACACGAGUCAGAGGACUUACCUUAGCCUCAGUUCCAACCUGCAAUUCAAGGUUAAACAUAGAUAUUCAAACAAUUCACGACAUCCGAUCAAGCAUUGAUCAAUCGACUAAGUCGAUUACAUGUCAGCCAGACCCUUUCUAGGUCAUUCCCACUCAUACCACACUUUCUCAGUGGUGUACUCAUUCACCAAAUCACAUGUGUUUCUCGGGCGUCGUUUUCGCCAAUGACAUACCGAUCACCGACACCGUGCGUUCUUUAAGGCGCCGUUUUCACCAGUGAUAACCUUGAUCACCGAACCACGUGUCCUUUCAAGGGCGUCGUUUUCGCCAAGGUGACAUCGGCUAUAGACAACAUCGUGCGUUCUUUAAGGCGCCGUUUUCACCAGUGAUAUUCCCAUAACCACCGAACCACGUGUGUCUAUAAGUCAUUUACGUGCGUUCUUUAAGGCGCCGUUUUCGCCAGUGAUACUUCCCAUCACCGAACCACGUAUGUCCAAUCAUAUCGUACCUGAUUGGUCUCAACCAAUAAUGUUCUCAGUUAGCUCUCACCACUCUCCCUACUACAUAGCCCAUCGACGUACUGGCGCUAUAUAGCCAUGCUUGGCCAUUACCAAUCAAAUAUUCAAUAACAAACAAUUUAGGAAAAUUCCUAAAAUUCCACAAUAAAUUCAAUUCCACACAACGUAGAGCUCAAAUAAAUAAACGGUCUGCACCACGACAAUCGGCACGAAAUUCCGGUCACCGGCCAUCCCGGUUGAAUUUCCGGAAAAAAAAUAAUUAAUUAAAUAAAUAAAUUUCGAAAAUAAAUAAAUAAACAUUAAAAAUCCAAUUUAGGCCUAUAUUGCCUUAUUGGAGCCCGAAACGGGUCGGGAAAAAUCCCGAGAUGCAUUCAAUAAAUAACCAAACAUUUCUACUUGCUAAUAGCUAGGUCUAACCACCUAACAUGCAUCCUCAAGUCACUAAUUUAAUUGUUCUAACCUAAUCUAACCACCUAAGUGCAUGUAAUUAAAUCUAACCAACCUUAAGACAUAAUUAGCAAACUAAUAAAGCAUUAGUGAGUAAAACUCACUUGACAAAAGCGGAGAUUGAAUCACCGCAACGGCGACGCGAUGGCGGCCGA